rnacentral:lncRNA from 1 species
CUCAAAGUACUUCAUACAAAUGGAAUCAUACAGUAUGCAUCUUUCUGUGCCUGGCUUAUUUUACAUAGCCUAAUAUCCUUAAGUUUCAGCCGUGGUGUAGCAUGUGACAGGAUUUCCUUCCUUUUCAAGGCCGACUAAUAUUCCGCUGCAUCUUGCUGGGCACAGUGGCUCAUGCCUGAAAUCCAAGCACUUCGGGAGCUUGAGAUGAGCAGUCUGUGUUAAAAAAGAAAAAAAAAAAAGAAGGAAAAAGGAUUCAACUUUCUCCCCAGCCAUUUUGCUCUCUCUUCCCCUGCUGCAGCAAUUGUGAAAGCCACGCAUUUAGAUGGUGAAGCCACAAAAUGGAAACAGCCUGGAUCCCUGAGUCACCAGAUGCAGAAACAGCUGCCCUGAAAAGUUGUCCAUCUUGCACUAUACAUGCCCAUGUACGAGAAAUACAAGCCUUUUCUGGCCGGGCGCGGUGGCUCACGCCUGUAAUCCCAGCACUUUGGGAAGCCGAGGCGGGCAGAUCAUUUGA